AGACUGGUGCAACAGUCGGGGCUGAGCUGUGGAUCGGCGUGUCAGGCUAAUCACGCACGGAGAUAGCUGGUUCUCCCCGAAAACUAUUUCGGUAGUGCCUCGUGUAUAACUCAUUGGGGUAAAGCACUGUUUCGACAAUGGGGGUUUUACGACCUUACUGACGCGAUGCAAACUCAGAAUACGAUGAAGUUCGAUCCCGGGAGACACACUGCGGGUGCUAAGGUCCGCGGUGGAGAGGGA
rnacentral:rRNA from 1 species